AUUGAACGCUGGCGGCAGGCCUAACACAUGCAAGUCGAGCGGAUGAAGGGAGCUUGCUCCUGGAUUCAGCGGCGGACGGGUGAGUAAUGCCUAGGAAUCUGCCUGGUAGUGGGGGAUAACGUCCGGAAACGGGCGCUAAUACCGCAUACGUCCUGAGGGAGAAAGUGGGGGAUCUUCGGACCUCACGCUAUCAGAUGAGCCUAGGUCGGAUUAGCUAGUUGGUGGGGUAAAGGCCUACCAAGGCGACGAUCCGUAACUGGUCUGAGAGGAUGAUCAGUCACACUGGAACUGAGACACGGUCCAGACUCCUACGGGAGGCAGCAGUGGGGAAUAUUGGACAAUGGGCGAAAGCCUGAUCCAGCCAUGCCGCGUGUGUGAAGAAGGUCUUCGGAUUGUAAAGCACUUUAAGUUAGGAGGAAGGGCAGUAAGUUAAUACCUUGCUGUUUGACGUUACCAACAGAAUAAGCACCGGCUAACUUCGUG
rnacentral:rRNA from 1 species